AAUUAAUCGGCCAUUCCGAUUAAUCGAUCAACCUCUAUUCUGAACUAUGCAAGUCCUGUCUUCUGAUCAUUUCCUCAAUGUUUUUAUAUGUCAGAAUCAUGUAAUUACACAUGAAUAGAAGUUACUUUUGGUUAUGUCUAUUUUGGCAGAAAUCAAUAUUUUGCCAUUUCAUUUUAAGAGGUUUACGAAAUUUCCAGGCAGAGUUAGUUUAUCACCCAUUGACUCCUGGUUUUGGGUGUGGGGGAUGGCUGGUGGGUGAGCUGCUUGAGAGUGCUGUGAGAUGGUGAAGUCACCAGCAGGGGACGUCCUAACACAGGCUUCCUUAUGUAUUGCUACAGAUAGAGAAUUGUCCAAUGGAGGUCCGUGGACAACUCUGCUCGGGGGGCUUCAGGGAUGUCUGGAUUUCACCCACAUUAACAUCAACCAGCACAUGCGUCUGUAUCUGCUGUUCAGACUCCUCCAUUGAGAACUGCAUUGAACUUGUCAAUGGUAAAUAUUACAUUUUUUGUCACAUUUUUCCUCAACUACUAUGGCUCUGCUACCAUGAUAUAACACAUUCAGAUAAUCCUUUUGACAGGUGACUUGGUUUCCUCCUCUGUUCAUUGUGACCAUUGUUUUUUUUCUCUCUUUUGCAGUUCAAUAAGAAAAGAUUUUGGGGGCUCUCAUGUGUCUGCAGCAAGACCAGCCCUAAAUUUGGCAAGGAAGCCUGCUCAGGUGAAUCAAAUACAGGCAAAACUGUGAAAAGCUUGGUUUGUGUUGAUCUGUUUUUAUAACAGUAUACCUUAAAUAAUCUUAAGGUAAUUAUACACUACUGUUCAAAGGUUUGGGGUCACUUAGAAAUGUCCUUGUUUUCCAUGAAAACAUACUUGAAAUGAAUUACAAAAUGAAUAGGAAAUAUAUUUAAGACAUUGAUAAGGUUAUACAUUUUUUUUUUUUUUUACAUUUAAAUAAUAAUUAUGUCCUUCAAACUUUGCUUUCGUCAAAGAAUCCUCAAUUUGCAGCAAUUACAGCCUUGCAGACCUUUGGCAUUCUAGUUGUUCAUUUGUUGAGGUAAUCUGAAGAGAUUUCAUCCCAUGCUUCCUGAAGCACCUCAUAUAAGUUGGUUGGCUUGAUGGGCACUUCUUACUGCUGCUUCCACAACAGCUCAAUAGGGUUGAGAUCCAGUGACUGUGCUGGCCACUCCAUCAUAGACAGAAUACCAGCUGAGUACUUCUUCCCUAAAUAGUUAUUGCGUAGUUUGGAGCUGUGCUUUGGGUCAUUGUCCUGUUGUAGGAGGAAAUUGGCUCCAAUUAAGUGCCGCCCACAGGCUAUGGCAUAGCGUUGCAAAAUGGAGUGAUAGCCUUCCUUCUUCAAGAUGCCUUUUACCCUGUACAAAUCUCCCACUUUACCACCACCAAAGCAACCUCAGACCAUCACAUUGCCUCUACCAUGCUUGACAGAUGGCGUCAAGCACUCCUCCAGCAAGCACUCCUCUUACGAAUGUUCUUCUUUGUGAUCCGAACAUUCGUCUGUCCAUAACACAUUUUUCCAAUCUUCCUCUGUCCAGUGUCUGUGUUCUUUUGCCCAUCUUAAUUUUUUAUUUUUAUUGGUCAGUCUGAGAGUCGCCUCUUCACUGUUGACAUUGAGACUGGUGUUUUGCGGGUACUAUUUAAUGAAGCUGCCAGUUGAGGACUUGUGAGGCAUCUGUUUCUCAAACUAGACAAUUUAAUGUACUUGUCCUCUUGCUCAGUUGUGCACCGGGGCCUCCCACUCCUCUUUCUAUUCUGGUUAGAGCCAGUUUGCGCUGUUCUGUGAAGGGAGUAGUACACAGCGUUAUAUGAGAACUUCAGUUUCUUGGCAAUUUCUCGCAUGGAAUAGCCUUCAUUUCUCAGAAAAAGAAUAGACUGACGAGUUUCAGAAGAAAGUUCUUUGUUUCUGGCCAUUUGAGCCUGUAAUCGAACCCACAAAUGCUGAUUCUUCAGAUACUCAACUAGUCUAAAGAAGGCCAGUUUUAUUGCUUCUUUAAUUGACACAACAGUUUUCAACUGUGCUAACAUGAUUGCAAAAGGGUUUUCUAAUGAUCAAUUAGCCUUUUAAAAUUAUAAACAUGGAUUAGUUAACACAACGUGUCAUUGGAAUACAACCCGGGCUGGCAAAACCCUGGAUCGUUGUUAUUCUAACUUCCGCAACGCAUAUAAAGCCCUCCCCCGCCCUCCUUUCGGAAAAUCUGACCGACUCCAUUUUGUUGCUCCCAGCCUAUAGACAGAAACUAAAACAGGAAGCGUCCGUGCUCAGGUCUGUUCAAAGCUGGUCCGACCAAUCGGAUUCGACGCUUCAAGAUUGCU
ensembl:lncRNA